rnacentral:misc_RNA from 1 species
GAGCGGAGGCUCCACCUCGGCAAAUGUGCUGGCUCAGGCGGCCCAACCAGUGGGGUAAUGAUCUUACUGCUGGCGCUGCAUUGCUCUUUCUGCUGCGGCGACUCAUCGCAUAGCUGCUGUUGCUGCUGCUCCUUCUUCGGUUUCUGCUUUCGCUCGAUCGCAGCCUGCUGCUGGGCAGCCUGAAGCCUCUUGGCGGCACGUAGAGUACAAGCGCGGGACGGUCGAUUGCUCCUGUUGGUAGGAGGCGCCGAAGCCGGAGACGGAGACGGCACCAGUGGUGGAGUUCCCUCGUCAUGAGGGGCGGAGGAGUGGUUUAAAGCAGUGGCGGAGUGAGGGGCGUCGUUUAGGAGGAUCGGAGAAGAGGAAAGUUGUUCGCGGGACAUGGUUGGAGAGAUCGAGAGGGUUUAGGGAAGCUAAUGUGGGAUUACAUGUAGAGGAUCAAGGGUUUGCAUUGGAGAGAGGAAUCAAAGGAAAGAAAUAAUUUUUGGAGUGAGAAAGAGAAAGGAGAAGAAGAUUGAGGACCAAAAGUCCAACCCAUCAUUUUUCUUCACAUAUACAUAAUAUUUGCAUAUAUGUUCCGUUGUGUUUGGCUGAGUUAGGAGACCAGGAGGUGAAAUUGAAGGGAAAGGAAGGGAAAAGAAAGAUAGGCAAGGGAAGGGAGAGAAGCUAGACAAUGCCUGGGAUUUUGUGUAGGACUUGGAUUUUUAUUACUUUUUAACCGCUUGAAUUUACUAAUUUCUUCUCUCUUUUAUUUAGAAUUUCAACCUGUUGUUCUCAGAAUUUG